rnacentral:rRNA from 1 species
UACGUAGGGUGCAAGCGUUAAUCGGAAUUACUGGGCGUAAAGCGUGCGCAGGCGGCUGGGCAAGACAGAUGUGAAAGCCCCGGGCUCAACCUGGGAAUUGCGAUGGAGACUGCAAGGCUUGAAUCUGGCAGAGGGGGGUAGAAUUCCACGUGUAGCAGUGAAAUGCGUAGAGAUGUGGAGGAACACCGAUGGCGAAGGCAGCCCCCUGGGUCAAGAUUGACGCUCAUGCACGAAAGCGUGGGGAGCAAACAGG